rnacentral:rRNA from 1 species
UACGGAGGGUGCAAGCAUUAAUCGGAUUUAUUGGGCGUAAAGGGCGCGUAGGCGGGAGAGAAAGUUAAAUGUGAAAUCCCGGAGCUCAACUCCGGAACGGCAUUUAAAACUCCUUUUCUAGAGGGUAGGCGGAGAAAACGGAAUUCCACGUGUAGCGGUGAAAUGCGUAGAUAUGUGGAAGAACACCUGUGGCGAAAGCGGUUUUCUAGCUUAUUCCUGACGCUGAGGCGCGAAAGCAAGGGGAUCAAACAGG